CCUACGGGGGCUGCAGUGGGGAAUAUUGGACAAUGGGCGAAAGCCUGAUCCAGCCAUGCCGCGUGUGUGAAGAAGGCCUUCGGGUUGUAAAGCACUUUCAGUGGGGAAGAAAGCCUUGGGGCUAAUACCCUCGAGGAAGGACAUCACCCACAGAAGAAGCACCGGCUAACUCCGUGCCAGCAGCCGCGGUAAUACGGAGGGUGCGAGCGUUAAUCGGAAUUACUGGGCGUAAAGCGCGCGUAGGCGGUCUGAUAAGCCGGUUGUGAAAGCCCCGGGCUCAACCUGGGAACGGCAUCCGGAACUGUCAGGCUAGAGUGCAGGAGAGGAAGGUAGAAUUCCCGGUGUAGCAGUGAAAUGCGUAGAGAUCGGGAGGAAUACCAGUGGCGAAGGCGGCCUUCUGGACUGACACUGACGCUGAGGUGCGAAAGCGUGGGUAGCAAACAGGAUUAGAUACCCUGGUAGUC
rnacentral:rRNA from 1 species